GACGAACCGUGCGAACGUUGUUCGGAUUCACUGGGCAUAAAGGGCGCGUAGGCGGACGGUCAAGUCGGGGGUGAAAUCUUUCAGCUUAACUGGAAAAGUGCCUCCGAUACUGACGGUCUCGAGGGAGGUAGGGGCAUGUGGAACUUCCGGUGGAGCGGUGAAAUGCGUAGAUAUCGGAAGGAACGCCGGUGGCGAAAGCGGCCCUCUGGAUCGUUGCUGACGCUGAUACGCGAAAGCGUGGGGAGCAAACAGG
rnacentral:rRNA from 1 species